GGUCCAUCCAAGUUAUUGCAAAUCCUUGGCCAAUCUUUUUGACCUCACGCCAGGGUCUUUUCUCUGUGUGGGUUUAUUGACCAGAGCUCCUACAUUAUCUAUUGACUAAAUUUUACAUUUCUUUAAAGCUGAAUAAGAACUUAAAUAUAUCUGCAAAGAAAUCUGAGUGUGAAAUCCUUCUGGAUUUUUACAAAAUGUUUACAGUUGUCUUGUCCACAUCUAUUUCGACAGGAUUAUCAUUUGAGUCAUUCCGAAGUCAUUCCAAAGUGGUCAAAUACAUGUUUAUAAAAACAACUCUCUCGCUGCACUCACUCUGAGAUACAGCUCAAAGCCUCAGAGCUCAGAGUGUGGCGCAGGUGAACAGCUGGGUUCAAACCCCGACGCAGUUACUUCCUAGCUGUAUGACCUUUGGUAAGUUACUUAACUUCCGCGCCUGUUGCCUAGCUGUAAAAUUGGGGUUUCGGCUAUUACUGCUGUUUCAUUUUUUAUGUCAUGUUAAGUGCAAUUAUGUAAUUACAACAAGUACAACUGCCACAAACAGGUUUGGGAACAAACAGCUGACUCUUGAUAAGCAUCCAACUUCACUGAUGAAGCGGAAGUACAAGGGUAUAUUAGAGACCAGCCCACUGGCUGGGAGCAUUUAGCAGGCCAAGUAUUAGUCAGUGUGUUUUACAGAAGGAACUGGGAAGCAUCAGGUAAGCCAGGGGUCAAUUAAGCCCAUGAUAGUUAAGAAGGACUUUACUGGCUUGCUCAUCAUCUGUCUCCAACCCUGGCUGCACAUUAGAAUCACCUGGCAUGUUACAAAGCACAGGGCUCCGAUAUGCCCAGAGACGGACGCAAGUGAUAUGAGGUGGAGCUUGGACACAGGCACUUAGAAAAGCUCCUAGAGAUUCUACAAAGAAGGCUAAAGACCGGCACACCAGAAUGUAAGCUCUGGGAGGGCAGGGCCUGCCCUCUUGGGUUCACUACUGCUCUCUUGGUUCACCACUGGACACGCAGCACCUCACGCAGUUCCCAGCCACAGCAGGCACUCGCAUCCUAUCUUUUAAAGGAGCAAUGGUGGCCACUAGGUUUCAAAUGCCAGGACACACAGGCUCCAUUCCCACUUCCUAGCUGCCCUAUCAACCAGUGGGUAGGAACCAAGCACACGAAGCAGCUGAGGCUGUGCCUGAGAGGCAGACAAAGGCACCGAGGGAGAAGUUAGGCCUCUGCAGGAACCCGGGGCCUCAAGGGUGACAAACGCUUCAACACAGAAAGUAGUUCCAGGAGGUGCCAGCAGGAGCUGCAGUUAAUCAUUUACCUGGCACCACAGGAAGGGGGCAGCCUGUGUGGCAGUUUCUGCCCCAGGGCUUCCCAAGCUCCAGGCAGGGCCUUUCAGUCGACAAGUCAUCUAGACAGAGAGGAGGGGCCGGACCCAGCCACGGGUGAGGCGGAUCUACCUCUGUCCCCACCCACCCCAAGUCUGACUUCUCUCAGCGAGGACACCUCAACACACGUGCCCUGAGCAGCCCCGCAAAACGACAUCACAAAAGGGCAGAACACAGCUGAGGGGUCGCUUCUUCAAGUCAGGGUGCAGCUCUGGUCACCUGGUGCCUCUUCAGCUCAAGCCCCGCAAAGCGUGGGGCCUGAAGCAUUCCCUGAUCCGCCUGUUCUUAGGAGACGGGAGUGUUAACAGCAGAACCAGAGGAGGAAAGUCCAUUUGCCGCUUGCUGGAGGCAAUGAGCCCAAAGACCCGCCAUCCCUGCAGUGUCCACCAGGUGCACAGGUGGGCCAGCUGUUCUCUGAGAUUGCUCCAGAGGGCACAGUUGGGGGGUAGAGAGCAGCGCCUGGGACAGGGCCUUGGAAAGGCCCCUGUACUCAGGGCCUCUGUCCCUUCUUUUCUAGG